rnacentral:rRNA from 1 species
UACGUAGGGUGCGAGCGUUAAUCGGAAUACUGGGCGUAAAGCGUGCGCCAGGCGGUGAUGUAAGACAGAUGUGAAAUCCCCCGGGCUUAACCUGGGAACUGCAUUUGUGACUGCAUCGCUGGAGUGCGGCAGAGGGGGAUGGAAUUCCGCGUGUAGCAGUGAAAUGCGUAGAUAUGCGGAGGAACACCGAUGGCGAAGGCAAUCCCCUGGGCCUGCACUGACGCUCAUGC